GCCCCCAUCGUCUAGAGGCCCAGGACACCGCCCUUUCAAGGCGGCGACACCGAUUCGAAUUCGGUUGGGGGCA
rnacentral:tRNA from 1 species